AAUUCUCAACCCUACAAGUUUUUUUCGAACCUGUAUGGCUUGGAUCAUGGGAACUGCGGGCUUGGAUAAAGUCGGCUUUCCUUAAAUGUAUUAGCAGAACUUUUGUUGCUAACCUCUGGUGUGAUAAUUAUCUACGCUAUUGAGAGGCGACAUGUUAAAGUACUGCUUCUAAUCGUCUGUCACGGACAACAUUUGACA
rnacentral:misc_RNA from 1 species